rnacentral:rRNA from 1 species
GGGGGAAUAUUGGGCAAUGGGGGAAACCCUGACCCAGCAACGCCGCGUGAAGGAAGAAGGCUUUCGGGUUGUAAACUUCUUUGACGAGGGACGAAAAAAAUGACGGUACCUCGAAAACAAGCCACGGCUAACUACGUGCCAGCAGCCGCGGUAGUACGUAGGUGGCAAGCGUUGUCCGGAUUUACUGGGUGUAAAGGGCGCGUAGGCGGGACUGCAAGUCAGAUGUGAAAUGUGAGGGCUUAACCCUCAAGCUGCAUUUGAAACUGUGGUUCUUGAGUAUCGGAGAGGCAGGCGGAAUUCCAAGUGUAGCGGUGAAAUGCGUAGAUAUUUGGAGGAACACCAGUGGCGAAGGCGGCCUGCUGGAUGACAACUGACGCUGAGGCGCGAAAGCGUGGGGAGGCAAACAGGAUUAGAUACCCUGGUAGUCCACGCUGUAAACGAUGAAUACUAGGUGUGGGGGGACUAACCCCCUCCGUGCCGGAGUUAACACAAUAAGUAUUCCACCUGGGGAGUACGGCCGCAAGGUUAG